GAUGAACGCUGGCGGCGUGCCUAAUACAUGCAAGUCGAACGAAACUUCUUUAUCACCGAGUGCUUGCACUCACCGAUAAAGAGUUGAGUGGCGAACGGGUGAGUAACACGUGGGCAACCUGCCCAAAAGAGGGGGAUAACACUUGGAAACAGGUGCUAAUACCGCAUAACCAUAGUUACCGCAUGGUAACUAUGUAAAAGGUGGCUAUACUACCGCUUUUGGAUGGGCCCGCGGCGCAUUAGCUAGUUGGUAGGGUAAAGGCUUACCAAGGCAAUGAUGCGUAGCCGAAUUGAGAGGUUGAUCGGCCACAUUGGGACUGAGACACGGUCCAAACUCCUACGGGAGGCAGCAGUAGGGAAUCUUCCACAAAGGGCGAAAGCCUGAUGGAGCAACGCCGCGUGGGUGAAGAAGGUCUUCGGAUCGUAAAACCCUGUUGUUAGAGAAGAAAGUGCGUGAGAGUAACUGUUCACGUUUCGACGGUAUCUAACCAGAAAGCCACGGCUAACUACGUG
rnacentral:rRNA from 1 species